UACAGAGGGGGCAAGCGUUGUUCGGAAUUACUGGGCGUAAAGGGCGCGUAGGCGGCCUGUUAAGUCGAACGUGAAAUCCCCGGGCUCAACCCGGGAACUGCGUCCGAUACUGGCAGGCUUGAAUUCGGGAGAGGGAUGUGGAAUUCCAGGUGUAGCGGUGAAAUGCGUAGAUAUCGGGAGAAAUACCGAUGGCGAAGGCAGGUCUCUGGGCUGACACUGACGCUCAUGCACGAAAGCGUGGGGAGCAAACAGG
rnacentral:rRNA from 1 species